rnacentral:lncRNA from 1 species
AAGCAUAUAUAAAAAUUUAUUCCAAUUUCUAUCUACAUGUGCAUAAGGUUUUUAUAUGUGUUGCUAUCUCUACCCUAAAAGAGUUUUGUACCCUACGUUCCAAUCCUACAUACUAUACAUGGCAAUUCUUGGAAAGGUAAUGUGGUAAGUAAAGUACAAUAUGAAAUGCAGAAGGUAAAAUUAGGUAGAUAAGACAAACUUCCGGCAUGGUGACACGAUAAUUUUUACUGAGGUAUCGGAAAGUAAAGCUUUCCACUAGUCCUUGUUGUUGGAGCCCCUCUCAAGAAAGUGCCCGUGCAAGGGCAUAAGCUCCACCCCCCUCCUCAAGUAACUGCAUAGGUUAGCCAACGGGCCUUUCCCACAUGUAAUUGGGUCUCCACCUAGCCUCUCCCAGAUGCUCCUCGCCACUCUUCACUUGGUUGAGUUUCGACAAAAACGCCAAG